rnacentral:rRNA from 1 species
UGGCGGCGUGCCUAACACAUGCAAGUCGAACGGGGUGAUUUUCUUCGGAGGAUCACUUAGUGGCGAACGGGUGAGUAACGCGUGAGAAACCUGCCUUUCAGUGGGGGACAACAGUUGGAAACGACUGCUAAUACCGCAUAAUGUACACGGACCGCAUGAUCUGUGUACCAAAGCUUUAUGUGCUGAAAGAUGGUCUCGCGUCUGAUUAGCUAGUUGGUGAGGUAACGGCUCACCAAGGCGACGAUCAGUAGCCGGUCUGAGAGGAUGAACGGCCACAUUGGGACUGAGAUACGGCCCAGACUCCUACGGGAGGCGGCAGUGGGGAAUAUUGGGCAAUGGGGGAAACCCUGACCCAGCAACGCCGCGUGAAGGAAGAAGGCCUUCGGGUUGUAAACUUCUUUUAGCAGGGACGAAGAACGUGACGGUACCUGCAGAAAAAGCAACGGCUAACUACGUG